rnacentral:rRNA from 1 species
UACGUAGGGCGCAAGCGUUAUCCGGAAUUAUUGGGCGUAAAGAGCUUGUAGGCGGUCUGUCGCGUCUGCUGUGAAAAUCCGGGGCUCAACCCCGGACUUGCAGUGGGUACGGGCAGACUAGAGUGUGGUAGGGGAGACUGGAAUUCCUGGUGUAGCGGUGAGAUGCGCAGAUAUCAGGAGGAACACCAAUAGCGAAGGCAGCUCGCUGGGACGUUACUGACACUGAGGCGCGAAAGCGUGGGGAGCGAACAGG